rnacentral:rRNA from 1 species
UACGUAGGGUGCAAGCGUUGUCCGGAAUUAUUGGGCGUAAAGAGCUCGUAGGCGGUUUGUCGCGUCUGCUGUGAAAACCCGAGGCUCAACCUCGGGCCUGCAGUGGGUACGGGCAGACUAGAGUGUGGUAGGGGGGGACUGGAAUUCCCGGUGUAGCGGUGAAAUGCGCAGAUAUCGGGAAGAACACCCGUGGCUAAGGCGGCUCUCUAGUACGGUACUGACGCUGAGACGCGAAAAGCGUGGGGAGCGAACAGG